UUUACUCUGCUUGCAGUGCCGGACCCUAUUUUGGGAAAAAAGAAUUAGCAAUAUCCUUAGUUAUAUUUCUUCAAGUAUCCAAGAGCAGCAAAAUUCUCCACAUGGCCCUGUGCGCACUUAUCAACAUUUUUUCCUAAAUUUUAAGGGUGAGAAAAUUGCCCUAAAAUUGCAUUUACUUUGGUUACAGAUGAAGACAAGUAUGUGGUAUUCGUGUCAGGGUUGAGUGUUGCAAGCGACACAUUCAAUCCUCUGUAGUUCUUCUUCCAAAAAAAAAAUCCUCUGCAGUUCCAACUUCUUAUUCAAAUAUAACACCGGGGCUAAGGAUCAAAUUGGAGCAAACCAUAGCAUCAAAUAUAGUACGUGUUGUUGUGGCUGGGAAUUCAGUGCAUAUUUCACCAAGGUUCUUGAAUGGUCAGGUAAUGGGAUUGCAUUUCACAUUUUUUUGUGGCACUUUCUCCUGUUGCUUUAGCAUGUUGUACUAACGGGGUUCCAAUAUUUCAGAUGUUAACAUUGAAAGAUCAAUUCGGGAUAUAGCUGAACCAAUCAAGGAACUGGAUAUAAUGCUGACCCUGGUUAUAAUUAUUUCCCCCCAUCAAUUUAGUCAUUGCAACUGAUCUGAUCUGACAGUGUCCUUGAUGUAAUCCAUGUCCUCUACAGCUUGUGGCAUCAUUGCCUAUAGAUAUGAUGUCAGGAUGUCAUGAUCAGGCAAAUUUUUCUUUGCCUCAGCAGCCUUUGCAUAGAUGCCUUUUUGCUGGAGCAUCCACCUACAAUACUUUUUUGUCAUGUUCAAAUCCCCAUCAAUUUGAGCUUGACAACGUCCAGUUUAUUGGAACAUCUGGCCAGAACAUAGAUAACCUCUACAAGUACUCAGAUGCUAAAGACAAGCUGGAGUUCAUGGAAAGAACACUGAGAUAGCGCCAUCUUGCUCCGACUGCUCCAAACAGCCCAGGUAACUCUUGUCUCUAGUCCAAGUUGGCAUGCCACAUGUGACUACCUUGGAUUGAAUGUCAUCUUGUAUAAAUUUGUUUCUGUUGCAACCCACGAGCACUCAACUAGUUGGUACAAAAUUUAACUGAGAGGCCAAGAGGAUAUCUAUGACUCAAGUUCCCGUGAAUGAUUAUUUAUAUAUAAAAAAUCAUGGCUGUCGGUGGGCCAAGAGCAUUGGAAAUGGGUUGUGGGUUGUGGCCCUUAAAACCUUGUGAUAACUGAAGCCCACAGCAAUGCACGGAAGGAUAGGAGUCAUCGGGUCUUGCAUUUGGAGCUAUUACCGGCGGUCACGGGAAAACCCCCUGAAAUGGAUCGUCAUCCAAGGUAAAGGUGGAAACAGUCUUUGCUGAGUGUCGCAGGCUGGCUAACGAGGAAGUAAAGAAUCAGAAGUCUAUUGGAUAAAAAAACACUUUUAGAUAGAUAAAUUAUGUAUACAAAUAGGUAAACUAGCAUAAUCAUAUAGUAUGAGUAUAUUCUAGACUUGUAUAUAAUAUGGCUACACAUAUCUCUCUCCAAUAUACUCCAUGAUAGAAACAACGGAAUACUGAGCACAAAAGACAUGAGAAAAAAAUAGAUAUGAUUGCACUGAACGUAUUGAUCUCUUUUAGAGGAGUUAGUAACAACAAUAUAUAUAGGAGACCUUGUGAUGAUGAUGCAACAAAUGUUAAC